CUAGGAGGCAUCAGCCUUGUGGGGUGUCAGAGGGAAUGUGCUAUCCUACAGAAUUAACACAGAAACUAACAACAGAGGCAAACCCUUUCCUCCUCCAGGUCACAGAUGAAUCUUCUGAAACACCGAUGACGGAAUGGAGUCUUUCCUCAGGAAGAUGAACAGAUGCACAUGGUGAUCAGCUGGAAGCUCAAGAAUGCACCUUAGUGCCUGACCGAGAGGAAACAUACGAGCCAGGAAGAAAGCGCCAUACCUUCCCACGAGCCAGACGGUGCCUAGGCUGCAGCCUCCACAUCCCAUACACAGAGAGAUUCCGCAUCUACACUACACAAGGGGCUGCUGUGGAACAAAAAUAGGAGUUGAGCUUAUUCCUGCUUAACACCAAGAAGUGCCAUGAGAUUCUCAUUUACUGAGCACACAGGAUGCACAAACAUUUUCUGAAUUAGAUCCUGAGAGAGGGACGUUUCCUACACUGACGCCAAUAAGGAUGUCUAUGUAAAUUUAGUGAAAGGGAGUGUUUUUGUAUUUGUACUUUUUGAAUUCUUGUUUUUAUAAAAGCUAAAAAGUAUU